ACCGCUUUAGUUCAUUGGUAGAACACUCGACUGAUAAUCGAGAGGUGACUGGGUCAGUACCAGUAAGCGGUAC
rnacentral:tRNA from 1 species